GACGAACCGUGCGAACGUUGUUCGGAAUCACUGGGCUUAAAGGGCGCGUAGGCGGGUUCGCAAGUCUGUGGUGAAAGCCUCCAGCUUAACUGGAGAAGUGCCAUGGAUACUGCGCAUCUUGAGGAGGGUAGGGGCGUCUGGAACGGUCGGUGGAGCGGUGAAAUGCGUUGAUAUCGACCGGAACUCCGGUGGCGAAGGCGGGUCUCUGGGCAGUAACUGACGCUGAGGAGCGAAAGCGUGGGGAGCGAACAGG
rnacentral:rRNA from 1 species